rnacentral:rRNA from 1 species
UACAGAGGUCUCAAGCGUUGUUCGGAUUCAUUGGGCGUAAAGGGUGCGUAGGUGGCGGGGCAAGUUUGGGGUGAAAUCCCGGGGCUCAACCCCGGAACUGCACUGAAUACUGCCUUGCUAGAGCACUGGAGAGGGAACUGGAAUUUACGGUGUAGCAGUGAAAUGCGUAGAUAUCGUAAGGAAGACCAGUGGCGAAGGCGAGUUCCUGGACAGAUGCUGACACUGAGGCACGAAGGCUAGGGGAGCAAACGGG